CUGACCGUAAACGAUGCCAACUAGCGAUCCGCCGGCGGCUUCUUGGCCCUGGUGGGGAGCUUCCCGGAAACGAAAGUCUUCCGGUUCCGGGGGAAGUAUGGUUGCAAAGCUGAAACUUAAAGGAAUUGACGGAAGGGCACCACCAGGAGUGGAGCCUGCGGCUUAAUUUGACUCAACACGGGAAAACUCACCCGGCCCGGACACCGUGAGGAUUGACAGAUUGAUAGCUUUUUCAUGAUUCGGUGGUUGGUGGUGCAUGGCCGUUCUUAGUUCGUGGAUCGAUUUGUCUGGUUUAUUCCGAUAACGAGCGAGACUCCAGCCUACUAACUAGUGCGGGCAUUGUCUCUGUGCUUGUCACUUCUUAGAGGGAUUGGCUGCGUCUAGCGGCACGAAACGGAGCAAUAACAGGUCUGUGAUGCCCUUAGAUGUCCGGGGCUGCACGCGCGCUACACUGGCAAAGGCAGCGUGCUUGUCCGCCUCCGAAAGGAGCCGGUAAACCCUUGAAAAUUUGCCGUGAUUGGGAUCGGAAAUUGCAAUUAUUUUCCGUGAACGAGGAAUUCCUAGUAAGUGCGAGUCAUCAGCUCGCGUUG
rnacentral:rRNA from 1 species